rnacentral:rRNA from 1 species
UAGGGAAUCUUCGGCAAUGGGGGGAACCCUGACCGAGCAACGCCGCGUGAGUGAAGAAGGUUUUCGGAUCGUAAAGCUCUGUUGUUAAGGAAGAACGAGUGUGAGAAUGGAAAGUUCAUGCUGUGACGGUACUUAACCAGAAAGGGACGGCUAACUACGUGCCAGCAGCCGCGGUAAUACGUAGGUCCCGAGCGUUGUCCGGAUUUAUUGGGCGUAAAGCGAGCGAAGGCGGUUAGAAAAGUCUGAAGUGAAAGGCAGUGGCUCAACCAUUGUAGGCUUUGGAAACUGUGUAACUUGAGUGCAGAAGGGGAGAGUGGAAUUCCAUGUGUAGCGGUGAAAUGCGUAGAUAUAUGGAGGAACACCGGUGGCGAAAGCGGCUCUCUGGUCUGUAACUGACGCUGAGGCUAGAAAGCGUGGGGAGCGAACAGG